rnacentral:lncRNA from 1 species
CUUCGUGUCAUUGCUGCUCCUACGGAGAUGUCUACAUCUUUAUUAAACAGACUGUACAAGAUGUGAGAUUGAACUGAAUGGAAUGAAUCUAAAGCAGGUGAUCCGUUUGCAUACUUGAAAGUAUGAUUUAGAGGGAGGACCAUAUUUAUAAUGAAAUUAUGAGAAACCUAAAUGCUAGAUUAAAAGUUAUAAGUAUACUUGAAAAGUAUUCCAGGAAUAAGAAUUUGUCAAAGAAUGCUAGGACGGCCGUAUUUCAGACUGUGCUUGUCUCAACAUUGAUGUAUAGAAGUGAUGUAUAAGAUGAAACUCAUAGAAAACGUUUGAGUUCAGUGAAGAUGAGAUACUUGAUAGAUGUAGCUAGACCCUCGAGGAGGGCCCGCCUUGACGCAGCAAGGGGACUUUCCGGCAGGAACUACAGUAUAUCUGGUUUAAUAGCUCGGCCGAUACAUUCAUGCUAUCUAGAUACACUAAGAGGUUCUCAUUGGGAAAGUAUUUUACCAAGUCAUUUUUGCACCUGUUUGGGGUGCAUUCCGAGAAACUUGAGUAAUCUAUAUUCGAGUUAUGAAUGAAACUUGGUAAAAUCCGUUCUGUUCUUGGGCCACGUUUGACUUUCCAUAGAGAGGUUCUAUAUACAAUGUCGGAUAUGUCUGGGUAUAAAUUGAAUAAUCCAGAAACUAUCCCAAGUGAAGAAAUUCCUAUAGAAUCGAUAUAAGUUGGCAGCAUCCAAUCUUCGCUGCUGGUUGCUUUGUUGUUCGCCACACAACCGUAGGUCCCUGUGGGUUCAGGAUUAAGAAUCGGCCUGCCACAUUCUCUACGUGUGUAUAUGAGGAUUCUAAAAGAGUUCUAAAUCAAAAGUUGCGUACCGUACUGAUGGGAUGAAUGACGGACGGAUAGAAGCUUAAACAAUGUCGUCCGAGAUGUGGUUGAUCUCGGCCUGUAGAGGACUUUGUCUCAGAUCAGAAGAUAACUUCACUUCCAUAGGGUGAAUACCUAACACGGUGCAGUUACCCCAAGCGACAUUCUGCCAAUGCAAGUCAUCACAGUCCAACCUAUUCACGGCGUUAGUGGAUAUUGAUUCAUGAUGGCCUGCGACAGUGUUCGGGCUACACAGUUAUGCGAACAAGUAUAGGUAUCGCUCCUAUAACAUGAUAGAUAGGUUUUUAAAAAAUAACGUGUUGUAUGAAACCGUAUUAUAUGAGACAUGGAGCCAAAACAAAAAGGAGAGUUAGAUUCCGAAACCAAUUAAAACGAAAUAACUUUCUUUAAUUCCACUUAAGAAAUUAAUUUUUAUUAAGAAUAUUUAUAACACGAAACAUAAAGAAAUAUAUAUAUGUAAGUCCCUAUAAAAACAAAAUAUACGCAAAACAAAAAGAAAGAAAAAGUAUGCAGCCUACGUAGCAUUCAUUUAAUAAUUAUCUUCCCCUUACUACUGUUCAUGUCAAAUGAGAACAUUUUUUUUUUAAUAAUAUCGAC